rnacentral:lncRNA from 1 species
CAACAGCAAAGAUCCCAGGGAAAUUCUGAUUUCCCACAAAUCUUCCAAAUUUCUGUUUUACUGCUCUGCCCCAUAGGAGCAAAAGGUUUAGUUUCAAUGGGAACUUCAGAACUGUUUGCUCACUGAAUUCUUCCAACCUGUGUUGAAGUAAAGCAAGUUCAGAUUAUCAUCUCCAUUUUUCAACAUCCUACCCAGUUAACAUCACACAAUUUAUUCUUAUUGGGCAGUGACUGGCUCCACCCCUGUCUGCCUUCCAGUAGCUGAAUCUCUGAAUCAUCGUCUUUGUCCCAUCUGUGUGAAUUCUGCAUUUUGUUGGGAGUACAGAAGAGGAAGAAGGCCUGGCUUUCAUAAGGUGAGUGAACUGUAUCUAAGAUGUGGGGGGAAAAAUGUGAUUUUUUUUUCCUGUUAAGGAUGCAUAGGGAGGGAGUAGUGCAGCCUUCCCCUGGGGUUUGACUUCUCAUUUGGAGCACAGUAUGGGGAAUCUAACAGUGGAUCUGAUAUAUGUGGGGUGAGCAAGUGGUGAUUGAGACCCUGAAGAAAGGGGAGAAGUUUCAGGAGUGAACUGAAAAUUCUGUAUUGAAGCUAGAAGUACUUGAAGCCUGCAAUGGAGUGGCUUUUGUUUUGCAAGUGUGUCUCCUAAUAUUGUACUGGUUUUGUUGGUGUUCUGCUAGGACGUGAUAUAUUAUUUUUUUUUCUUGCUUGAAAUCGUGAACUGUUUACAUUAUUCCAGGCUUAGAAAAAUCUGUCUUUCUCAGUAUAAAGCAUUGUUGAAGUUAAGGAACAAAUCUGAGGUUAGGGACUGUAAAUGUUUUAAGCUGGUGUUGUACUCCUAAGACAGAACACAAGCAAAUUUCAUGAGUUUGUGUUUUUUGCUGUAUUGCAACAUGCAAAGAUAAACUUGUUGAUGUUUGUGACAGUAAAAUGCUUAU